rnacentral:tRNA from 1 species
GCAGGUAUGAUGAAAUUUGGUAAACAUGUUAGAUUUAGAUUCUAAAAAUACUUUUGUAAAUCGUAUUGAGGGUUCGAGUCCCUCUGCCUGUA